UGGUGGAGUGAUUUGUCUGGUUAAUUCCGUUAACGAACGAGACCUCGACCUGCUAAAUAGUUCAGUAAACCCAUUCGGGUUUAUCUGUGACUUCUUAGAGGGACUAUCGGUGUGUAGCCGAUGGAAGUUCGAGGCAAUAACA
rnacentral:rRNA from 1 species